rnacentral:rRNA from 1 species
UGCGGGAACCUGCGGAAGGAUCAUUA